CAUAAUGGCCGACUCUAAUUUUGCUAGUGACCGAACUGUAUCAGAAAAUGGUCAAGAAUUUAAAGCAAAGAUGGCAUUUUUAUUCGGCAUAACAUCUGCAUCAGUUUUUUUGGGUUUGGUUUAGCAGUUGGUGCUACAAAAAAACGUUCGCCUACCUCCUUCACAGGACAAGUUCACGACGAAGGAGUGAAAUUAGCUAUGAGGGCUUUAGGUUGGGGGACGCUCCUAUCCGUGAGUGGUGUGACCGUUAUUGGUGUUGUGGGAAAAUCUAUAUACGAUUUCACAAAGGUGAUUCUUAGAUAGAACUACCAUUAUCAUGGACCAUCGGAAUAAAAGUUCAAAUUUUACUGAUGAGUGAAAUGACUGGUGUGAUCUCAAUACAGUGGAAGGCCAUAGUAUAUUUAAGAAAAGCAGGUUUUGAAACAAAAUAUCACUUACACUUUGGUGAAAUGUUUUGCGUUUAAAGGUCAUUUUAAUGAAUAUUUAUAUAAGUUUUAGUAGAAAUCAGUGAGAACAAUCAACAUGUAAAUAAAUUGUCACAUCAACAGUAUUAAAAUGCAUAAAAUACAUUGUUUUAUCGAA